rnacentral:rRNA from 1 species
CCUACGGGAGGCAGCAGUGAGGAAUAUUGGUCAAUGGACGAGAGUCUGAACCAGCCAAGUAGCGUGAAGGAUGACUGCCCUAUGGGUUGUAAACUUCUUUUAUAUGGGAAUAAAAUGUUCCACGUGUGGGAUUUUGUAUGUACCAUAUGAAUAAGGAUCGGCUAACUCCGUGCCAGCAGCCGCGGUAAUACGGAGGAUCCGAGCGUUAUCCGGAUUUAUUGGGUUUAAAGGGAGCGUAGGUGGAUUGUUAAGUCAGUUGUGAAAGUUUGCGGCUCAACCGUAAAAUUGCAGUUGAAACUGGCAGUCUUGAGUACAGUAGAGGUGGGCGGAAUUCGUGGUGUAGCGGUGAAAUGCUUAGAUAGCACGAAGAACUCCGAUUGCGAAGGCAGUUCACUUGACUGCAACUGACACUGAGGCUCGAAAGUGUGGGUAUCAAACAGGAUUAGAUACCCUUGUAGUC